rnacentral:rRNA from 1 species
AGAGUUUGAUCCUGGCUCAGGACGAACGCUGGCGGCGUGCCUAAUACAUGCAAGUCGAACGAAGCUUUCUUUCACCGAAUGCUUGCAUUCACCGAAAGAAGCUUAGUGGCGAACGGGUGAGUAACACGUAGGCAACCUGCCCAAAAGAGGGGGAUAACACUUGGAAACAGGUGCUAAUACCGCAUAACCAUGAACACCGCAUGAUGUUCAUGUAAAAGACGGCUUUUGCUGUCACUUUUGGAUGGGCCUGCGGCGUAUUAACUUGUUGGUGGGGUAACGGCCUACCAAGGUGAUGAUACGUAGCCGAACUGAGAGGUUGAUCGGCCACAUUGGGACUGAGACACGGCCCAAACUCCUACGGGAGGCAGCAGUAGGGAAUCUUCCACAAUGGACGAAAGUCUGAUGGAGCAACGCCGCGUGAAUGAAGAAGGCCUUCGGGUCGUAAAAUUCUGUUGUCAGAGAAGAACGUGCGUGAGAGUAACUGUUCACGUAUUGACGGUAUCUGACCAGAAAGCCACGGCUAACUACGUGCCAGCAGCCGCGGUAAUACGUAGGUGGCAAGCGUUGUCCGGAUUUAUUGGGCGUAAAGGGAACGCAGGCGGUCUUUUAAGUCUGAUGUGAAAGCCUUCGGCUUAACCGAAGUAGUGCAUUGGAAACUGGAAGACUUGAGUGCAGAAGAGGAGAGUGGAACUCCAUGUGUAGCGGUGAAAUGCGUAGAUAUAUGGAAGAACACCAGUGGCGAAAGCGGCUCUCUGGUCUGUAACUGACGCUGAGGUUCGAAAGCGUGGGUAGCAAACAGGAUUAGAUACCCUGGUAGUCCACGCCGUAAACGAUGAGUGCUAAGUGUUGGAGGGUUUCCGCCCUUCAGUGCUGCAGCUAACGCAUUAAGCACUCCGCCUGGGGAGUACGGUCGCAAGACUGAAACUCAAAGGAAUUGACGGGGGCCCGCACAAGCGGUGGAGCAUGUGGUUUAA